GCCGCAAGAUGAGUACUCUCACAGCCUUGGGCUGGUAAGACUCCCGGAAGAUGACCGGGUUGAGCGGCGCGCACUGGACGCGGGGCGACCCGUGCAGGUGACGCGUGCGCACAGUCGAGGGCUUCCCGCC
rnacentral:rRNA from 1 species